rnacentral:rRNA from 1 species
UAGGGAAUCUUCCGCAAUGGGCGAAAGCCUGACGGAGCAACGCCGCGUGAGUGAUGAAGGUCUUCGGAUCGUAAAACUCUGUUAUUAGGGAAGAACAUAUGUGUAAGUAACUGUGCACAUCUUGACGGUACCUAAUCAGAAAGCCACGGCUAACUACGUGCCAGCAGCCGCGGUAAUACGUAGGUGGCAAGCGUUAUCCGGAAUUAUUGGGCGUAAAGCGCGCGUAGGCGGUUUUUUAAGUCUGAUGUGAAAGCCCACGGCUCAACCGUGGAGGGUCAUUGGAAACUGGAAAACUUGAGUGCAGAAGAGGAAAGUGGAAUUCCAUGUGUAGCGGUGAAAUGCGCAGAGAUAUGGAGGAACACCAGUGGCGAAGGCGAGUUUCUGGUCUGGAACUGACGCUGAUGUGCGAAAGCGUGGGGAUCAAACA